rnacentral:rRNA from 1 species
GCAAGUUAGUAAGGGUCCUUGGUGGAUGCCUUGGCAGCUAGAGUGGAUGAAGGACGUGGUAAGCUGCGAUAAGCCGGGGUGGAGGCGCAAAACAGCCUUUGAGGCCCGGAUCUCCGAAUGGGGCAACCCGCUAUGGGUAAUACCAUAGCACCCGAAAGGGGCACACACGGGACGAAGUAAAACCUUCUAGUAGUCCCAGGAAAGGGAAAUCGAAUGAGACUCCCUAAGUAGCGGCGAGCGAACGGGGAUUAGCCUAAACCUACAAAGUGCCAUGGUGGCAGCCUUAGCUUUGUAGGGGUCGUGAGGCGCACCUUCAAGACUCUGCUAGGUCUUGCGGAAGUUACAAAACUUUAUGCUAGCAGAAGCACUUGGAACAGUGCGCCAUAGAAGGUGAAAGCCCUGUAUGCGAAAGCAUAAAGUCUUCCGGAUGCGUCCUCGAGUACUACCGCCCCCGCGGAAGGUGGUAGGAAUCUGGGGAGACCACUCUCCAAGGCUAAGUACUACUAGCUGACCGAUAGCGCAUAGUACCGCGAGGGAAAGGCGAAAAGAACCCCGGAAGGGGAGUGAAAUAGAGCCUGAAACCAAGGAUCUACAACCCAGUGGAAGAGGCUUUUGCCCUCGACUGCGUGCCUUUUGCAAAAUGAGCCAGGGAGUUGUCCUAAGCUGCGAGGUUAAGUCGCAAGACGAAGCCGAAGGGAAACCGAGUCCGAAUAGGGCGUUAAGUAGCUUGGGGCAGACGCGAAGCGGAACGAUCUACCCAUGCCCAAGGUGAAGGACAGGUAAUACUGUCUGGAGGCCUGAACCAGUCGGGUGCUGCAAAACCGUUGGAUGAGGUGUGGGUAGCGGUGAAAAGCCAAUCGCGUUCCGGGAUAGCUCGUUCUCUCCGAAAUAGGUCGACGCCUAGCGUCAUGGUAGCUUCUCUCAGGUAGAGCCACUGGAAGGGCUAGGGCCUCGAAAGGGGUACCGAACCCUACCAAACUCCGAAUGGGGAGAAAGCGGUCCAUGGCAGUCAGUACCCGGGGGAUAAGCUCCAGGUACGAGAGGGAAAGAACCCAGACCGUCAGCUAAGGUCCCUAAACUGAGCUAAGUGGGGAAGGAUGUGAAACCCCUAAAACAGCCAGGAGGUUGGCUUAGAGGCAGCCAUCCUUUAAAGAGUGCGUAACAGCUCACUGGCCUAUUGGGGUUUCGCGCCGAAAAUUUAGCGGGGCUAAGCUCAGUACCGAAGCUACGGACAGCGUUAAGCUGUGGUAGGAGAGCGUUCCCUGUUGGCUGAAGUCAAAGCCGUAAGGCAUGAUGGACGACAGGGAAGUGAGGAUCCUGGCAUGAGUAGUAGCGAAGAUAGAUGAGAAAUCUAUCCGCCGGAAGCCCAAGGUUUUGGCGUCAAUGUAAAUCAUACGCCAGUUAGCCGGUACCUAAGGUGAGGCCGAUGAGGCGUAGCCGAUGGAAAACGGGUCAACAUUCCCGUGCCAGCUAAGUGGAGGUUAAGUCAUGACGUAGGAAGCUAAAGGCAGCCUGCUAUGGAAUGCAGGUUCAAGGUAGUAGGAGGAAGGGAUAGGCAAAUCCGUCUCUUCAUACUCCGAGAGCUGAUGAAGUAAUUGCCUUGACGCUACACUACCGAGAAACAAUGGCGUAACCUUUGAAGCUUAGCUGACCGUACUGGAAACCGACACAGGUGGGCUGGGUUAGUAGCCUAAGGCGUCGGGGGAACUCUCCUCAAGGAACUCGGCAAAUUGACCCCGUACCUUCGGAAGAAGGGGUGCCCAUGGAGGUUGUAGUUUUUCGGCGAAGGCCUCCGUGGGUCGCAGAGACCAGGUGGUGCCGACUGUUUACCAAAAACACAGGACUACGCAAACUCGAAAGAGGACGUAUGUGGUCUGAAACCUGGCCAGUGCUCGUAGGUUAAGAGGCGGGGUGCAAGCCCCAAAUCGAAGCCCGGGUAAACGCCGGCCGUAACUAUGACGGUCCUAAGGUAGCGAAAUUCCUUGUCGGGUAAGUUCCGACCUGCAUGAAUGGUCCAACGAGUGCCACGCUGUCUCGAGGAGAGACCCGAUGAAAUUGUGAUGCCGGUCAAGACACCGGCUACCCACGGCAGGACGGAAAGACCCCGUGAAGCUUCACUGUAACCUGACAUUGGACUUUGACCUAUCCUGCGCAGGAUAGGUGGGAGGCUAGGAAGCCCCUCUUUCGGGAGGGGUGGAGCCACCGGUGAGAUACCACCCUGGAUAGGUUAGAGUUCUAACCUUAGCAAGUAAGCCUUGCAAGGGACAGUGUCAGGCGGGCAGUUUAGCUGGGGCGGCUGCCUCCUAAAGAGUAACGGAGGCGUCCAAAGGUACCCUCAGGCGAGUCGGAAAUUCGCCAUCGAGUACAAAGGCAUAAGGGUGCCUGACUGUGAGACAGACAUGUCGAGCAGACGCGAAAGCGGGGCUUAGUGACCCACAUGCAUUCCGAGUGGAAGGGCAUGUGAUCAGCGGAUAAAAGCUACUCCGGGGAUAACAGGCUAAUUUCGCCCGAGAGCCCCUAUCGACGGCGAAGUUUGGUACCUCGAUGUCGGCUCCCCCCAUCCUGGAGCUGAAGCAGGUUCCAAGGGUUGGGCUGUUCGCCCAUUAAAGGGGGACGCGAGCUGGGUUCAGAACGUCGCGAGACAGUUCGGUCCCUAUCCGCCGUGGGCGCAGGAGUUUUGAGAGGGUCUGUCCUUAGUACGAGAGGACCGGGACAGGGAAGGCUCUGGUGUAUGGGUUAUCACUCCAGUGGUAGCGCCCAGUAGCUAUCCUUCUACGGAAUAAGCGCUGAAAGCAUCUAAGCGCGAAGUCCACCUCAAGAUAAGAACUCCCUGAAGAGCCGUGGAAGAUGACCACGUUGAUAGGCCCUGUAGUGGAAGCCAAGCAAUUGGUGGAGCUAAAGGGUACUAAUAGCUCGUUCGACUUGCAUAC